AUUUUUUAAAUGAAUAAGUAGUCACAUAUAAGUUUUAAGGCUGUUUCAUGUAGAAAAAUCUGAAGAAGAAAUGCACAUGAAGAGGAUUGUGAAGAUGGCCAUUGUCCUUCCAUGAAUUCCAUAAGCCCUUUGACUUUCAGGACUUUUGUAGAAACUGAAACAGCACAGAGUACGCAAUGCUUCUCCUUUGCACUAUCAUCUGACUGUCUCAGCAAGGAUGCAGUUGAUAAGACUGGGCUGCCUGCUGUCCUCUGGUCCUUAAUUUACAGGUUAAAGAAAAGGUGGUUCCAGGAAGGGUGAAUGGAAUUUCAUAGGUUGUAGGACAGUGGCAGUCUCCUUUGUGUAUUCCAGAUAAGCAAACCUAAAAGGUUUCAGCCCUUCAAGACAUCAAGGACAGAAUCCCUUCCAGGAUAGUAGACGCCCUUUCCUGGCUCUGAAGCAGGGGGGUGGGGGGUGGGAGGGAGACACACCUCUUAGUUCAGUGUCUUGAACAUGAGGCGACUGAAUAUGUCUUUCUCAGCACGUACUGUGUCAGGGGCCUUUAGAAAAUGGUGGUGUUGUUUUUGUUUUUGUUUUUUUUUGUUUUUUGUUUUUUUUUGGCUUUUCUAGACAGGGUUUUUCUGUGUAACCCUGGCUGUCCUAGAACUCACUUUGUAGACCAGACUGGCCUUGAACUCUGAAAAUUUGCCUGCCUCUGUCUCCCAAGUGCUGGGAUUAAAGGCGUGUGCCACCACUGCGACUGAGGGUGUACUAAACUACCUCUAUAUCCAGGAGAUCUUGGAGAGGCCCUUGAAUCCCAAGGAAGGCUAGCAAUUCGCAACAGUGGCACCUUACAACCCAUUUCUGCUAAAGAAUCCUUACAAUGUCUCCUUAGUGCCUCCAGUCCCAGGUACAAGUCCUUGUUCUACCUCCCACUGCAGUUAGUAGAGGCUAGGGUAGCCUGAUUGUAACGUUUUUUAAACUCUUAGCUUCUGUGUUCCCAUGGCAGUUAGUAGAGGUUGGGAUACUCUGAUAGCAAAUUUCUAUUGCUAGAGGGAAAACAGCCUUGGUCCCUUUAGCUAAUCUAUGAGAAAGCAGCAGUCUGCCUUUCACCACUGAAAUUAUGCUCAUUUGUAAACAGAUUGAUGCAGAAUUUGUCUAGCUGCUAUUUUUUUACUACUUCAACUAUAUUUUGUAUAGCUAAAAAUACAUGAGGACUAUUUUAUUUCUAUUUUUCAUAUUAAAAGCUUAUUGUUGGAAUUUUCCUUACUUAUUACAGUAAUUUCCCUUAUUUAUGCACACCCAGACACCUCCACCUCAACCCCCACUCAUACAAUUUUUCAGUGAUCUCUAGCUAGACAUCUAGUCCUACAACACAAGGCAAAUAGAAACCAGCCAACAGAUCCCUAUGGUAGAAAAACUAUAAGGGCUGAAGGUACAGUUCAAAGAUAGACUACUUUACUUAUCUAGCAUGGGUAAGACCCUGAUUCAAUGUACAGCACCGCCAAAAAAUAUUUUUAAAGAAAAACUGCUCAAGACUUAGAUAGCUUUUACACAAGUAAGUAUUAAUAUAUGCCACAUAUAACCAACUGGGAAUGACAUGGCCUUCUGAUAAUUCUAAGUCCAACUGUUGUGACACACACGUGCAACAAGGCCAUACCUCCUAAUCUUUCCCAACAUUUCCACUGACUGAGGAGUAGCUAUUCAAAUACGUAGGAGCCCAUGCAGAUUCUUUUUUCUGUUUUGUUGUUGUUUGUUUUUAGUCAGAGCCUCAUGCACUCUGCUGCUCUUGAACUAAAUCUGCAGUCACUAAUGUCCUUUAACUUCUCAUUGUUCUACCUCUAUCUCCAUCCGAUGGGAUUACAUCUGAUCUCUUACUUCAUACAUUUCUCCACUUUUUAUAAAAUUAUCUAGUAAUUAAUUUUAGCAGCACUACAUUGCACAAUCGCGGGGCCCACAAUCCCCAUGUUAGUUGGUGUGAAAAAGCAUCUCCUGGAAUUUUUCAGUCCAGAAGUGUUCAUAGCAGACACGAUUGGCUGUCUAUCUCAGACCCAUUACUAGCUUUUUCCUCUGUGGUAGCGCCACUGACUUAUUUGGAAAGCCCACUCUCCUUCUCACGCCAUUAAACUCACUAAGCCAAACAUAACACAACAUUGUCUUUACUGGUGAUUGGUUUUCGGGUGGACAUAUGACACAGGUCUGGCAUAAGGGAAGGUUUCUGGCAACCUCACUGAUACAUAAAAAGACAUGGCUGUUUUCUCAUGCCAGCCAUUGUCAUAUGCAGAUGUGGUCCCUGGAUCUGGAGAGAGUUUGUGGCUAUAAAGGGAGAAGCCUGAGGGCAAGCUACAGUUAGUGGCCAUGUGGCAUGGCAAAUCUGUGAUGAAAUACCACAGUUUUCUGGUCUAAAACCCACAAUGACAGAAUGACACCACAGAACACUAUAAAGGAAGGGGGGAUAUGAUGCAAGAAGACAACCAGAGAGUGAGCUAUCUCCUGUCUGCCUUACAUGCUAGACAAUUAUCUGCCUAAGCUCUGAGGCAUGUUUUUGUGAGAAAGACCUCAGCUAUAGAGGAGAGGACUGAGCUGAGAUUGUAGCUAAUGCACAGCUGAUGGUAUGAGUUCAGUCAAAGUAAAGAGCUAUAAGACUGCAAGAUAAUAUAUAACAUGCCACUUGCAACGAGGUAAGAGACAAAAUUUAUAGACAUAUCUAAGUGUAAUUACUCCUAAAUUUGUGUAAACAACAGUCCUACAUUUCUUAAAGAAAUCCAACUUGCUUUAGAAAAUUUUACCAAGCUGUUGUCCCCACUGGUAUCACUGAUGAAUUCUAACAUUGAAGAAGAAACAACCCCAGUGCUAGAUAUUGAAAAGUGAAGAAGAUGAAGCCGUUCACAAUUUAUGUUAUAAAGUGGAGAGAAUUGCUGUAUGUAGCCAAAAUGGUAUGCUAAAGAAUCACAUGAAGUCUAUUAAAUCUGACUAAGCACAUUUUACCCCAGAAAUACCUUUGCAUUUUCUUUCUUCUCUUCCUCCCUUUAUCUCUUCAUUCUUCCUUUCUUCUCCCAACCCUCACAUGUUUUCUUACCUCCUUUUUAGUCUGCAAACCAAACUCAGGGCCUUCUGUAUGUGGAGCAUUUGUUGUACCGCUGCCUGAGGACGAGGAAGGGGAAGUUACUGGGCUGGCUUCGAGAGGAACAGUAGACAAGGAGAACUCGAAGUGUAAAAGACAAUCUGACUUACAUUAUCACCCACCCAAGUGAGAAAUGCAGGCAUCAGUGUAACCAAGUGCACCCAUGCUCUACGUGGUGAAAGAUAUGUAUGUAUGCCUGAUGCCUGUGGAGUUCCAAAGAACGAUGACAGCACCAGAUGUUCCAUCCUGCUCACUACCUCCCAGUUGCAGUUCUGAUCCGUUGUUUCUCCCUGUGCUUUCCCACAGUAGCGUUAUUUUGGCUAUGGCUCUCGGGCUUCUUUGAUUUGAUAGCACAUUUGGACCAAUUUCUGCAAACGGACCCUUGGCAUCUCUCUCUGGAACACACCUUGGUAUUCAAACUCUGGCAUUGUGCCUUACAAAUGCAGACAAGAAAUACUUCCACCUUUCAAUCUACAUCGUGAUUAGUGAUCGGAAACAGCAAUGAAGACUAAAAGUUGCAACAUGGCAACCCCUGAAUCAAAUGAAGCUGGCUUGUCUGAUCCACAUCACACUGGUUCAGCUAUGGCUUUGUUUUCAGUAAAUUUGACUAGACUGCUUUAAGGUAGGUAUCUACUUGUGAGUUCACCAUGAGUCUCCCUUGUUUCUGUUCCUACUCAGUUGAUGUUUUACAAAUUAGCAUCUUCCUAUCAGUCUGUGAUACUUCUUGAGAUAAUAGUCUCUGAAUUCUAGACUAUAAAAUGCUACAAUCAAUGUAUGCAUUAUGACCCUAGGUGGAGGGAAUAAGGGUAAAGACAUGAAAGUUGGAGAUUACAUUUGGUAUCUCAGGCAUAGUACACCCCAGUCUGGAAAGUAUUUAGGAAAACAUUCAUUGUAAGGACUUCAGAAGAACAUGAAACAAUUUCAUUGUUUAUCUGUUUUUGUUUUUGUUUUAUAAUGAUGGCUUAACUCUGUUCAAUUGUAUAUGCUGAAAAAAUUCUUGCCAAUAUUAAUGUGCUGUAUUAGUUUAAAAUAUCUUAGCUUUUUAUUUAAUGUAUCAUAAAGUUCUGCAAUCCUGUUCCCACUUCAAAUAUAUCUAUGCUCACAAUUUUUCAGAUUUAAGAAGAAAGAAUAGUUUUGGCUUUAUAGUUAUAGCAUUUUAUUUAAACACUCUAGUAACAAUGUCCAGAGAACUUAGGUAAUUGUUUGAUUUGAGCCAUGAUGCCAUUUAUAUUUUAUUGCUCAAGAUUUUUUAAAAUAACUUUUACCUUUGAGCAUCACUUGUUGUUGAGAUAGAAGAACUAUAAAAGAGGCAAAAUUUGUCUCCAAUUUCAGUUCCACAACUUCAAAGGAAGUACUACCGGGUAUGGGUAUGAAAAUGAAGCCUGCAUGCGUAUCUCUGCUGCACUGAACAAUUGGCUCAGAUUGUUUUCUGUGCUGAAGUUGAUCCAAGCAAUAACAUUUGUUGUGGUUUCACACUGAAUGACUCUACCUCAGACUCUAUCUCCUAUCUCUUUAGCCAUCCAUUUCCAUCCAACUAUCAUCUCCCUUGCAGGGGGCAAUCUAUGAUUCAGAAUAGCAUUAUCUUACAAGUAAGUAUAUCAAGUGAACUUAAUUAAAAUGUGAGGGAUUAAAUGCAAGUUAAUCUUAUUCAAGGCAAAAACUUUUCAGUUUUUGUUUUGUUUAUUAUCCUUUGAGAAUUUAAUACAUGUAUACAACGUAUUUUGAUCACAUAUACUCCCCCCUGCCCACUCCCCAAAUUAAAUAAGUACAACAAAGGUCAUGGUUUUAUGAUGAAGUAGGAAGUAAAGACUGCUCCAAAACAAGACUGUGUCUGUUACUAGUUUAUUCCCAAUCCACUAUGUAAAUUAAGUCUAACAGAGUUGUGUUUAAAUAAAAUUACUUUUGUUAAUUCUAUUGUCUAAGCAAAAAAUACACUUUUCAGGCAUAGACAAUUAUAAGCUUUUCUGCUUAGAGUUUAAUGGGGCUCAGGAACAUUGAUAAAAUGUUGCAUUAUAAUGCAACAAAUAUAAAAUCUGGGAUAAUGAAAAAUCUCAAGGUUGCUUCAUUUUAGUGUUUGUUGCCAUUUAAGAGUAAAUUUAACGGAACGACCUUUUAAUUCUCAAAGAGCCCUGAAUUCCCUGCAGCUGGAGUUACAGGCAGUUGUGAGUCAUCUGCCUUGCUUGCUGGGAAAGAAACUUGGGUCCCCUGCAAGAGCAGCAUGCCCUCUUAGCCCCUGAUCCAUGGCACUAGUCUCUAGAUACACCAAACGUUGUUUGCAGAAGAUUUAUGUAUCCAAAGUAGCUGUGAGACAGAUUGAUACAUGUUUGUAACAAUGUUUGUAGCAUGGAUACAAGCUUGUAACUUGGUAUCACCUUCUAUCUCUAUAGCAACACUUUAUUUUGAUGAGCAGAUUGGUUAUUCUUAGAGGCUCGUCCUUGGUUGUGAUGGUACUUGAAGUGUUUAUCAACUUUUAGAAACAUUUUGAUGCUAACUUCAAAUAAUCUAUGUUAUACUGUGUUACAAUCUAUGGUAUCUGCUUCAUAUGGCCCAUUUAGUGCAGGGAGAUGGGCCAAAUAGAAUAGUCUUCAUUUGGAACAGAUUUUCAUUGUCCUGGAAUUUGAUGAGCUAGGCAUCUGAGCUCAAUCAACAGCAGUCAGAACUUUACUUUGGGUUGCUAAUGGUACCAAGUAAAUGUUGUGGCUUCAAAUUCUUGGUAUCAGGCUUGUUCCUAGAUCUAAUGUUGGCAAAAGUCCUAUCUGCUGUGUUUCAUUCCAAAGGGAAAGCACAUGGGAAUUCUUCAAGUUUGUUUUCUGCUGUUGUUCAAUAAUCCAUAUAGAAUGAGUCAUUGAAAUUCUGA